GGAGAGGAGGAAGCGGCGCUCAUGGGGUUGCAAGGAUGUAGAGGAGCAAAGGGAGAGAAGAGGCCGCGGGAAGAGAGGUGGUGCGAGACCCGCGGAGGCGCCGGCCAAGGACGGGCGCAUGGAGCAGCGGGCGGCGCGACCGGCCGGGUGCUGGCCAUUCAGGCCCGAAAGCGGAGGCCGAAAAGAGAGAAACAUCCGAAAAAAAAUCAAGCAGAAGAUUGAGCUGCUGAUGUCAGUUAACUCUGAGAAGUCGUCCUCUUCAGAAAGGCCGGAGCCUCAACAGAAAGCUCCUUUAGUUCCUCCUCCUCCACCGCCACCACCACCACCACCGCCACCUUUGCCAGACCCCACACCCCCGGAGCCAGAGGAGGAGAUCCUGGGAUCAGAUGAUGAGGAGCAAGAGGACCCUGCGGACUACUGCAAAGGUGGAUAUCAUCCAGUGAAAAUUGGAGACCUCUUCAAUGGCCGGUAUCAUGUUAUUAGAAAGCUUGGAUGGGGGCACUUCUCUACUGUCUGGCUGUGCUGGGAUAUGCAGGGGAAAAGAUUUGUUGCAAUGAAAGUUGUAAAAAGUGCCCAGCAUUAUACGGAGACAGCCUUGGAUGAAAUAAAAUUGCUCAAAUGUGUUCGAGAAAGUGAUCCCAGUGACCCAAACAAAGACAUGGUGGUCCAGCUCAUUGACGACUUCAAGAUUUCAGGCAUGAAUGGGAUACAUGUCUGCAUGGUCUUCGAAGUACUUGGCCACCAUCUCCUCAAGUGGAUCAUCAAAUCCAACUAUCAAGGCCUCCCAGUACGUUGUGUGAAGAGUAUCAUUCGACAGGUCCUUCAAGGGUUAGAUUACUUACACAGUAAGUGCAAGAUCAUUCAUACUGACAUAAAGCCGGAAAAUAUCUUGAUGUGUGUGGAUGAUGCAUAUGUGAGAAGAAUGGCAGCUGAGGCCACUGAGUGGCAGAAAGCAGGUGCUCCUCCUCCUUCAGGGUCUGCAGUGAGUACGGCUCCACAGCAGAAACCUAUAGGAAAAAUAUCUAAAAACAAAAAGAAAAAACUGAAAAAGAAACAGAAGAGGCAGGCUGAGUUAUUGGAGAAGCGCCUGCAGGAGAUAGAAGAAUUGGAGCGAGAAGCUGAAAGGAAAAUAAUAGAAGAAAACAUCACCUCAGCUGCACCUUCCAAUGACCAGGAUGGCGAAUACUGCCCAGAGGUGAAACUAAAAACAACAGGAUUAGAGGAGGCGGCUGAGGCAGAGACUGCAAAGGACAAUGGUGAAGCUGAGGACCAGGAAGAGAAAGAAGAUGCUGAGAAAGAAAACAUUGAAAAAGAUGAAGAUGAUGUAGAUCAGGAACUUGCGAACAUAGACCCUACGUGGAUAGAAUCACCUAAAACCAAUGGCCAUAUUGAGAAUGGCCCAUUCUCACUGGAGCAGCAACUGGACGAUGAAGAUGAUGAUGAAGAAGACUGCCCAAAUCCUGAGGAAUAUAAUCUUGAUGAGCCAAAUGCAGAAAGUGAUUACACAUAUAGCAGCUCCUAUGAACAAUUCAAUGGUGAAUUGCCAAAUGGACGACAUAAAAUUCCCGAGUCACAGUUCCCAGAGUUUUCCACCUCGUUGUUCUCUGGAUCCUUAGAACCUGUGGCCUGCGGCUCUGUGCUUUCUGAGGGAUCACCACUUACUGAGCAAGAGGAGAGCAGUCCAUCCCAUGACAGAAGCAGAACGGUUUCAGCCUCCAGUACUGGGGAUUUGCCAAAAGCAAAAACCCGGGCAGCUGACUUGUUGGUGAAUCCCCUGGAUCCGCGGAAUGCAGAUAAAAUUAGAGUAAAAAUUGCUGACCUGGGAAAUGCUUGUUGGGUGCAUAAACACUUCACGGAAGACAUCCAGACGCGUCAGUACCGCUCCAUAGAGGUUUUAAUAGGAGCGGGGUACAGCACCCCUGCGGACAUCUGGAGCACGGCGUGUAUGGCAUUUGAGCUGGCAACGGGAGAUUAUUUGUUUGAACCACAUUCUGGGGAAGACUAUUCCAGAGACGAAGACCACAUAGCCCACAUCAUAGAGCUGCUAGGCAGUAUUCCAAGGCACUUUGCUCUAUCUGGAAAAUAUUCUCGGGAAUUCUUCAAUCGCAGAGAUCACAUAGCAUUGAUCAUUGAACUGCUGGGGAAAGUCCCUCGAAAAUACGCUAUGUUGGGGAAAUACUCCAAGGAGUUUUUCACCAGAAAAGGAGAACUGCGACACAUCACCAAGCUGAAGCCCUGGAGCCUCUUUGAUGUACUUGUGGAAAAGUAUGGCUGGCCCCAUGAAGAUGCUGCACAGUUUACAGAUUUCCUGAUCCCGAUGUUAGAAAUGGUUCCAGAAAAACGAGCCUCAGCUGGCGAAUGCCUUCGGCAUCCUUGGUUGAAUUCUUAGCAAAUUCUACCAAUAUUGCAUUCUGAGCUAGCAAAUGUUCCCAGUACAUUGGACCUAAACGGUGACUCUCAUUCUUUAACAGGAUUACAAGUGAGCUGGCUUCAUCCUCAGACCUUUAUUUUGCUUUGAGGUUUUGUAACUAUUUAUGAAGAAAUAUUUUAGCUGAGUACUAUAUAAUUUACAAUCUUAAGAAAUUAUCAAGUUGGAACCAAGAAAUAGCAAGGAAAUGUACAAUUUUAUCUUCUGGCAAAGGGACAUCAUUCCUGUAUUAUAGUGUAUGUAAAUGCACCCUGUAAAUGUUACUUUCCAUUAAAUAUGGGAGGGGGACUCAAAUUUCAGAAAAGCUACCAAGUCUUGAGUGCUUUGUAGCCUAUGUUGCAUGUAGCGGACUUUAACUGCUCCAAGGAGUUGUGCAAACUUUUCAUUCCAUAACAGUCUUUUCACAUUGGAUUUUAAACAAAGUGGCUCUGGGUUAUAAGAUGUCAUUCUCUAUAUGGCACUUUAAAGGAAGAAAAGAUAUGUUUCUCAUUCUAAAAUAUGCAUUAUAAUUUAGCAGUCCCAUUUGUGAUUUUGCAUAUUUUUAAAAGUACUUUUAAAGAAGAGCAAUUUCCCUUUAAAAAUGUGAUGGCUCAGUACCAUGUCAUGUUGCCUCCUCUGGGCGCUGUAAGUUAAGCUCUACAUAGAUUAAAUUGGAGAAACGUGUUAAUUGUGUGGAAUGAAAAAAUACAUAUAUUUUUGGAAAAGCAUGAUCAUGCUUGUCUAGAACACAAGGUAUGGUAUAUACAAUUUGCAGUGCAGUGGGCAGAAUACUUCUCACAGCUCAAAGAUAACAGUGAUCACAUUCAUUCCAUAGGUAGCUUUACGUGUGGCUACAACAAAUUUUACUAGCUUUUUCAUUGUCUUUCCAUGAAACGAAGUUGAGAAAAUGAUUUUCCCUUUGCAGGUUGCACACAGUUUUGUUUAUGCAUUUCCUUAAAAUUAAUUGUAGACUCCAGGAUACAAACCAUAGUAGGCAAUACAAUUUUAGAAUGUAAUAUAUAGAGGUAUAUUUAGCCUCUUUUAGAAGUCAGUGGAUUGAAUGUCUUUUUAUUUUAAAUUUUACAUUCAUUAAGGUGCCUCGUUUUUGACUUUGUCCAUUAACAUUUAUCCAUAUGCCUUUGCAAUAACUAGAUUGUGAAAAGCUAACAAGUGUUGUAACAAUAAUCCAUUGUUUGAGGUGCUUGCAGUUGUCUUAAAAAUUAAAGUGUUUUGGUUUUUUUUUUUCCAGACAUUGCCUUGGUCAUUGCCCUAUAAAUGAUAGAAUCAAUGAACAUUUGCUAUCAGAGUAGUGUCACUAAAACUAAAUACCAGCAUUCCUGUUGCAGCAGAUGUAGUUGUAGAACAUGCAUUGAGGCGUAUUAUAAGGAAAUCAUUUAUUGUUUUUUAAGGGCAGAAGGGAUUUAGGAGAAAAGCUACAGUAUAGAUUGAUUCUCUAGAAUAUCAAUGAUCCCUUUUCAUCCAUGGUUCAUCAAAAACAUACUAACUGCAUUUGUUUGAUCAUUGCAAAUUUAAAACAAAACAGCAUUUGCUGUUAGGAAACAAGACACAUAAUCCUCUUAGGAAUUACCAUUAUAUCACAUUACCACUGUGAGGUAGAAUGGAUCAUUCAUUAAUUUCUUUAUGAAAUUUGCAUGCUAAGUUUUUCUAAUGAGGCUGUAGGUUUCCAUGUAAAUUCUGUGAUAGAUAGUGGCUGUAGACUGGUGAUGCUAUCCGUGAUUUCUAUGAGAAACAUCCUUACAAGAACCAUAGGGCAUAAUUUAUAUCUUCCCUAAGUGUAAAAGGAUUUUUAUCAGGGUGAUAGUAUACUUGAAUGAAAUUUGUCUAAUGCAGUUUUUGCUUAUGUUGGAAAAUAAACUAGAUUAUGAAUUUUUA